AUGAAUGGAUCAAGAAAAUGUGAUAUAUUUAUACAAUGGAAUUGUACUCAUCCAUGAGAAAGAAUGAUAUUGUACCAUUUGUAAGAAAAUGGAAAGAUUUGGAAAAAAAUCAU